CCCGUUGCCGUCGAUGAGAGAGGGUGGAUUCAGCGAUAGUUACGUGCUGCAUCCUAUACGAGCAAAUGUUAGCACUAUAGGCUACUAAUGAGAGGAAUUGUUUUGCCAAAUUCAAAUCAACAUUGGAUAAAAUCACAAUGUAUACAUAUUGCAGAAAGUCGUGAAUGAUAGCGCGAUAAUAUGAAAUACGAUAUUGGUUAACAAUGCGCUUCAAUAUGCAUAUAGAGAUAUUUAUUAGUCAAUAGUUAGG